UACGUAGGGGGCAAGCGUUGUCCGGAAUCAUUGGGCGUAAAGAGCGUGUAGGCGGUCCGGUAAGUCGGCUGUGAAAGUCCAGGGCUCAACCCUGGGAUGCCGGUCGAUACUGCCGGACUAGAGUUCGGAAGAGGCGAGUGGAAUUCCCGGUGUGAGCGGUGAAAUGACGCAGAUAUCAGGAGGAACACCGAUGGCGAAGGCAGGUCUCUGGGCCACUACUGACGCUGAGGCGCGAAAGCGUGGGGAGCAAACAGG
rnacentral:rRNA from 1 species